CCUACGGGCGGCAGCAGUGAGGAAUAUUGGUCAAUGGACGCAAGUCUGAACCAGCCAUGCCGCGUGCAGGAUGACGGUUCUGUGAGUUGUAAACCGCUUUUGUAAGAGGGUAAACGCCGAGACGUGUCUCCGGUUGAGUGUACCGUACGAAAAAGGAUCGGCUAACUCCGUGCCAGCAGCCGCGGUAAUACGGAGGAUGCGAGCGUUAUCCGGAUUUAUUGGGUUUAAAGGGUGCGCAGGCGGUUUGUUAAGUUAGAGGUCAAAUGCCGGGGCUCAACCCCGGAACCGCCGUUGAUACUGGCAGACUAGAGUAGGGGAGCGGUAGGCGGAAUGUGAGGUGUAGCGGUGAAAUGCUUAGAGAUCGCACAGAACACCGAUUGCGAAGGCAGCAUGCCGGCUUAAAACUGACGCUGAGGCACGAAAGCGUGGGUAUCGAACAGGAUUAGAUACCCUAGUAGUC
rnacentral:rRNA from 1 species